UGAGACAAGUAGAAGCACCCGCUUCUCACCUGAUUGACACUCUUAUGAGUAGUUACCAGGUAUGAUUUUCUAAACGUAAUUGGGAAACGUGUGGGUGCAGUAUGUGUGCCGACACUUUUUUUGAUUG
rfam:Pontibacillus chungwhensis BH030062 contig10, whole genome shotgun sequence.